rnacentral:rRNA from 1 species
UACGUAGAGUCCGAGCAUUGUCCGGAAUUAUUGGGCGUAAAGGACUCGUAAGCGAUUCGUCACGUCGAGAGUGAAAACUCGGAGCUCAACUCCGAGCCUGCUUCCGAUACGGGCAGACUAAAGGUAGACAGGGGAGAGCGGAACUCCUGGUGUAGCGGUGGAAUGCGCAGAUAUCAGGAAGAACACCGAUGGCGAAGGCGGCUCUCUGGGCCUUACCUGACGCUGAAGAGCGAAAGCAUAGAUAGCGAACAGG